UCAGAAACAGCUUGCAAAUAUUAAAAUGUAUUAUUAUACAUUAAAAAGCUAAAUAUAUUUUCAUGUGUUCACCAGAUAAUUGUCUUACGUCCUUCACCUAGGGUGAAUGCUGUAUCCUCCUGUUACUCGUGUACAGCUACUGUAACUUUCUAGUGGCUCUUAUAGUUUCUAUUUUAAAGGCGCAUGGGGCAGCAUGAAGAAACUAAACUCACGAGCAACGCGCUCGGAGCUAGAUUGACUUGAGGAGGAGUGAUGGAGCACACUGAGCCAUGCAGCAAACAGCAGCUCUUAUGGAAGAGGACCGAAACCUCACACAGCUAGAUGCAGCUUUACAACAUCUGAGCCAGGAGGAAAAACAACUUUCUCCACAGAGUGGUGACCCGUCUACCUGGGGUGAUGCUGGACAUCCUGGAAUUCCGGCAAGAGACACCAGGACCUCAUCUUUUUGAUCGUGGGCAGCCGAGACCGAGAGUUUCUGUUUCCUGCCUACUCUUCACAGUUCACAAUCUGGCAACAUGAGCGUCUGGGAAAAGGGAAUCAGAGGCCAACACCAAGCCGCUGCGUUGAAAAAUUCCCUGAUCCAUUAGGAGAUGACACUGGCUAAGCUCCACUUAGGGUGGCAGACUAAAUGUUUAAUCUAUGAUAACAAAAGCUCACAAACAACCAUACCUCACAAUAACAGUCAUUAGCUGAAGACCACACUUUAAUACACAAAAUAAAUGUGCAUCUUAUUUAUUUUCAUUUAUUUGCACCCCACUGGACUGUGCAUCUUAACCAAGGAGAGACUGAACUGCUUAUGAUGAAUCAAAUGAGAUAAUUAUUCACUAUGUAAAUUUGUGAAUAUUUAUUGAAUGGCCCUUCGUUACUUUUUUGCUGUUUACUAUUUUUGUUUGCAUGAAUACAAGGUACCUCAAAACCAAAAUGUUGCUUUGUUCAGUCUC